GUGCUCAGGAAAGGGGGUAGUGAAGCGAUGCCUUGCGAUCACAGAGUCUUUAUUUCAUCAAGGAUGUUUGCCCAGCACCCCCUUCCCCACUAUCUACUUUCUUAAUCCUCCCCCUUAACAAGGCCAUAAAUUGUGAAACCUUAUCUUCUCAGUAUAUUCUCUGCAUUCCUUUUAGAGACAAUGAACAAACACCCGCUAAUUUAUCACAGUGCCACCACCUUACUCAGGUAAGAUGAUGAUAUUAGAGGAGAUGGAAAGCAAAGAAAGUGAAGAAGAGGAAGAUAUCUACCAAAUUACACCUUAGAGAAAAGUUCUGCAAAAAUCAACAAUUUA